UGAGACGAGCGCCUCCAGGUGAGCGGAGGACUGACGGAACGCAGGUUCAGGGGCGAGAGGCUUGGCUUUCAUGAACGUCCUGCAGGAUUUAAACAUAAGCAAUAUUUUCCAGCUAUUCUGAACACUUAUCUGUAAGAUGUGUCAUUAUCUGGAAAGAAACGUGACUUUGAACAGCUGAAGGAGUGGAGGCAUAAGGUUGGAGUUAAUUUCAUGGCAAUCGUGGAAUUGGGACUGCUCAGGAGGACCAUGAGGGAGGGGCAAGGCACAUCAUUGGAAGCAGGCCUAAGGCACAGGCCAGGAGAAAAAGUUAAAAAGCAAGAGCAAGAAAGGAGUGGAAUAAUGGCAGAGAGAGGAAGAAUACAGACAAAAUGAACAAGUACAUUUAUUGUGAACAGAAGCUGCCUGGGCUUCCAGAGGUCUCAGGUGCACCUCUUUCAGCUGGUUCUCAGGGGCAGGAGAGUUGGGUACCAGGAGACUGAGGCUCUACUGCUGGCUGUGCCCCAGCUUCCCGAGUGACCUUGUGGAUGUCAUUUCGCCUUUCUGCCUCCUUCCUAUUGUCAAAGGCAGGCAUACUGCUAAGCUAAAAGUGCUCUGGGCUUUACCGAAGAAAAUAGCUCCAGAAAUUUAAGACGUUGCCUGCCUGUGUACGAAGUGUCUGCACUUGUUUCUGUUUUUUUCACGGUUGACGGAGGGAGAGCGGGUAAGAGGAGUGUAGAAAGAAAGGUGAGAAGACAUUGUGGCCAAAGUCGCUUAGCUCCGCCUUAGCUCCCGGGACCGGGAUCUGGCAGAGGGGACAUGCCUGCAGCCCGCGACCAGUGGGGCACCCAGGAACCCGAGCGGACAUCCUCGGGUUCAGCUGUCCCUUCAGCGAGUCCCAUUGCAGCAUCAGGGACGAAAAGCGAGGCACACCCCUCCCCCACUAGAUGGCACUGAAACGCCUCGUUCGCGAUUUUCAAAAUGCAGGAAGGAGGAAAAAAGACAAAAAGAAUAUGGUGGAGGUGCGCUCAUUUUGCAUCGCAGGCCCAGUUGUUCAAAGCAGGGUGCCGGACCCUCUCUUACUCUCCAGGGUAGCUCUUUACCCGGCAGUGCAGGCCCUCGGCUUUGGAAUGAGGGUGAAAAUGAGGGGCGAGGCUUAGAGUGAAGAGCCUAAGGUUUCGACCUGGGAGGGAGGCUCCCAGCCCUGCGGCGCCGUCUCACGUGAGCCGGGCGGUGUGUGUGUGGGGAUGAAGCUGGGCUCGCUCGGGGCCCACUCGCUCAAGGUCUGGGGUCUACCCGCGACACCUCUCAGAGCCCUCGCAGAGCCCAAAUCCAGCCCCCACCCGGAUAAGGACAAAGCCCGCACCGAGGUUUCGUUUAACCCCACUUCCCCUCCUCAAAGCGCGAGGCCCUGGGCGUUUUCAUAAUGUCUAUUAAGCACCACCCCCCCACACCCAUGAAAAUUCUGUUCCUCUUGUCUGGAAAGGAUCAGUCAAUUUUCUUUUUUCUUCUCCCGCUGAGGAGGGAGGUGGAGGCAAGUGGAGGUGGGUGUGUGUCGGGUGUCUGGCGCUGGCGUGGGGCUGGACCGGGGCUGGCGGUGACAACCCCGCGGACACGCGUUCAGCCCCGGGUGGAAACGCCUGUAGCUGAUAGGAUAGCGCCUGUGGCUUUCUAGGGAAAACAAAGAUCAAAUACAAUCCAGGACAUCUGCGACCGAAACCGGGGAUGCAGGGAACUUCCUCAGCCCCUCUGA